GUCCACGCUGUAAACGAUGAGCACUAGGUGUCGUGGGUAUUGACCCCCGCGGUGCAGCAGCUAACGCAUUAAGUGCUCCGCCUGGGGACUACGGCCGCAAGGUUAAAAACUCAAAAGGAAUUGACGGGGGCCCCGCACAAGCGGUGGAGCAUGUGGUUCAAUUCGACGCAACGCGAAGAACCUUACCUGGGCUAGACAACGGAGGACAGCUCCAGAGAUGGGGUCUUCCCUUCGGGGACCUCCGGUUCAGGUGCUGCAUGGCUGUCGU
rnacentral:rRNA from 1 species